UUGCCCUUUUGUUGUUUCUUCACAUUUUGCAGAAAACUGAGACGAGCGACAAUGCGAAAGUAAACCGAGUCCUACAACAACUACAACAGCAGCAGCAACAACAACAACAAUGACAAUGAAGGCAGCAACAACAGCAACCACCGCAAGCAGGCAGGCUUGCGCAAUAGCAGAGACAACAGCAACAACAACAGCAGCAAAAACAACAGUAAUAACCGCAAUAAGCACAACAUUCAAGCACGCGCAUUGACCGAACGAGCGAGAGGCCAACUUGACUGCCCAGCCCCAGGCCCCAGGCCCGAGCCCAGGCCCAUGCCCAUGCUCAGCUGGCCAAGCUCUUUCUUGCAAUAAUUUAAUUAACAUCAACUGAUUUCAAUUGGAAGGAGUGGAUCGCCUUUUCGUUUGUGGAACGUGGAAGCUGUGGAUCUUUUAUUGCUUGCCAUUCAUCUGAAAGCAGAGGAUGUAACUGUAAACACUGGAAAUCAAAUUGUUUAUCUGUGUGACUGUGUGUGUGUGUGCAUUGUUUUUUAGCGCGCGUUUAAUUAAACAAACAUUGAGUACGGUUAAAUAGUUUACUUUGAUAUGCACACACACACGCACACAGACAAAGUCAUAACAAUAACACACACACAUACACAGACCCAAAAGUUCAACGGAAUGAAAACUGAUCAAGGUUAAAUAGCGCAGAGCAAUAUAAAAAAAAAAUAAUAAUAUAAAUAGAAGCGAAAUAAGAAAAA